GAGUUUUUAAAACAGAACACACCGAUAUAAUUUAUUUUAAGAUAUCAUGAACUUUACGCAUUAUAAAGAGAUCAAGCUUAUUUACAUUCAAACAGAAAAAUCAUGGCUGAAAUUUACAAGUUUGUUUAUGCUAUCAUUCUAUUUCUUUCCUUUUUUCAUGUUGGAAUGACAGUUCGUUGUGAACCUAUUAAUAAAUGUGAAAGUGAUGCCGAUUGUACAGAAAAUGCGGGGAUGCUUUAUGAUAUUAAGUGCAUUGAUCACAAAUGUGAACCGGUUUAUGUAUUCUACUUUCCUCUUUAUGAAAUGACGGACUGAAAUUGCACAAUUUAAAAUUGAGGACCA